GGGUUUGUAAGAUUUUUUUAUUUUUUAAAUUUUUGACCUUGAUAUGACCUUUGGAGUUUGGCCAUGUCCACUUUUCUAGCUGAAACUGUGAUGUCUUGUAUCAUCCAAGUGAGCUACAGUGCCCAUGGCACUAUUUUUUUGU